rnacentral:rRNA from 1 species
GACGAACGCUGGCGGCGUGCUUAACACAUGCAAGUCGAACGGAAAGGCCCUGCUUUUGUGGGGUGCUCGAGUGGCGAACGGGUGAGUAACACGUGAGUAACCUGCCCUUGACUUUGGGAUAACUUCAGGAAACUGGGGCUAAUACCGGAUAGGAGCUCCUGCUGCAUGGUGGGGGUUGGAAAGUUUCGGCGGUUGGGGAUGGAUUCGCGGCUUAUCAGCUUGUUGGUGGGGUAGUGGCUUACCAAGGCUUUGACGGGUAGCCGGCCUGAGAGGGGGACCGGCGACAUUGGGACUGAGAUACGGACCAGACGCCUACGGGAGGCAGCAGUGGGGAAUAUUGCACAAUGGGCGGACGCCUGAUGCAGCAACGCCGCGUGCGGGAUGACGGCCUUCGGGUUGUAAACCGCUUUCGCCUGUGACGAAGCGUGAGUGACGGUAAUGGGUAAAGAAGCACCGGCUAACUACGUG